GGGGACGUAGCACAGCCUGGUAGUGCACCUGCUUUGCAAGCAGGGGGUCGUGGGUUCGAAUCCCAUCGUCUCCACCA
rnacentral:tRNA from 1 species